UAAUACAGAGGUCCCAAGCGUUGUUCGGAUUCACUGGGCGUAAAGGGUGCGUAGGUGGCCAGGUAAGUUCGGUGUGAAAGCUCGGAGCUUAACUUCGAAAUGGCAUUGAAUACUAUCUGGCUAGAGGGUCGGAGGGGAGACUGGAAUUCUCGGUGUAGCAGUGAAAUGCGUAGAUAUCGAGAGGAGCACCAGUGGCGAAGGCGAGUCUCUGGACGACUCCUGACACUGAGGCACGAAAGCCAGGGGAGCAAACAGG
rnacentral:rRNA from 1 species